CCCCUAGAUGUUCUGGGCCGCACGCGCGCUACACUGAACAGUUCAACAAGUCUUAACCUUGGCCGAUAGGUCUGGGUAAUCUUUGAACGCUGUUCGUGAUUGGGAUAGACCUUUGCAAUUAUGGGUCUUCAACGAGGAAUUCCUAGUAAACGCAAGUCAUCAGCUUGCAUUGAUUACGUCCCUGCCCUUUGUACACACCGCCCGUCGCACCUACCGAUUGAAUGGUCCGGUGAAAUCCUCGGAUCGAGCUGUGGGGCAACCCCGGUUCGAGAAGUUGAUUAAACCUUACCAUUUAGAGGAAGGUGAAGUCGUAACA
rnacentral:rRNA from 1 species